AUUGAACGCUGGCGGAAUGCUUUACACAUGCAAGUCGAACGGCAGCACGGGGGCAACCCUGGUGGCGAGUGGCGAACGGGUGAGUAAUACAUCGGAACGUGCCCGGUCGUGGGGGAUAACGUAGCGAAAGUUACGCUAAUACCGCAUACGAUCUGAGGAUGAAAGCGGGGGACCUUCGGGCCUCGCGCGAUCGGAGCGGCCGAUGUCAGAUUAGGUAGUUGGUGGGGUAAAGGCCUACCAAGCCGACGAUCUGUUGCUGGUCUGAGAGGACGACCAGCCACACUGGGACUGAGACACGGCCCAGACUCCUACGGGAGGCAGCAGUGGGGAAUUUUGGACAAUGGGCGCAAGCCUGAUCCAGCCAUUCCGCGUGCAGGACGAAGGCCUUCGGGUUGUAAACUGCUUUUGUAUGGAACGAAAAGGCUCUGGCUAAUACCUGGGGCUCAUGACGGUACCGUAAGAAUAAGCACCGGCUAACUACGUG
rnacentral:rRNA from 1 species